rnacentral:lncRNA from 1 species
CCUUGGAGCAAUUGUAAAGUUGUCUCUGUGCGAUCAAUAGGUCACGAGUUCCCGCCGUGGAAGCAGUAAUGCUUACAUUAGGGUAAGUUGUCUACAUCACAACUCCUUGGGGUGCGGCCUUCCCCAGACCCUGCGUGAAUCGGCCGGGCUGCCCUUUUCUACGGUAGUUGUUGAAGAAUAACAAAAUAUGACAAAGUGUGCUACACAAAACUAAAAUAUGAUCAAUUUGAUUACAGGGAACUAUUGGAAAAUGGGUGAGAUGUGCAAGUUUGCAAUACCAAAAGACAGUCAUGAGUAGCAUACCAUAUCAUGCAAACCUCAGUGCUAAAGGUUACAGAUCUCUUAUAUACAGGUUGAGUAAGAAUACCAGUGGCGGACCCAAGAUUUUGUGCAAGCGGGUUCAAUCGUAGAAGUACAUAACUUUAGUCGUAAAAUUGUAGUUGUCAAGUGGGUUCAAAUAAAAUAUUUAAACAAAAUUUACGCAGCUUUAAUCCUAAUUUAUACAUAUACACUGUAUUAAUUUUUGACGUGCGUCCGCCACUGAAGAUAGUUGAACCCGCUUGCCGCCACGUGCGUCCGCCACCGAAGAAUACUGUGUUUGCAAGAUGGGAAUAACUACCAACACAAAUAGUUGAAGAUUAUUAUCUCUGUGAAAUAAAAUAGUUGCUUUUCUAUGUUUUUUGAAUUAAGCGGUGGAGAUCAUGACAAGGUUGUUACCUUCCUAUCAACUCAAGCAUGGAUAAAAUCUCUUAACUACUCCAUUGUUGAUGAUUGGCGACCGUGGAUCGUUGACAAUCAAGUUGCCGGGUUAGUUCUUGAUCAAAGACAUUGUACACUAAUCAUAAACUCUAGCAGUGUAUAGAACUUAAACUCUUUUUUUUUCUUUCUUUUGAACAAUCUCAGUUACACGAGAAGUUACUCAAAUCGGAUGACAUUUGUUACAGUGAAGGCAAGAGAAUCUCCUACUGAACUAGUCUCUCAAUCUAUCUCUUUCACUUUCUUUUCUCGCUUAAGUUUGCAGAUAAAAAAUUGUGAAAUUGAUGUUUAAAUUGUAUUAUUUUGUUAUAGGGGGCAGGCCAUACUGCACCAGAGUACAAGCCUCGUGAAUGUCUGGCCAUGCUCAAGAGGUGGAUGUCUUACAAGCCCUUGUAAUCAACAAAUGUAUCAUACUUUGUAAUCACUGUCGAGAUUCCAUUGGCACAGUUCAAACAUUCAUUUCUUAUUUCAAGGGGAAAGGGUUUUAAUUUUAAUAGAAUAAAAUCAAAGUCAAGGUUCAGUUGUUAGUAGUAUAAAUAUAUAUAUUAUGAAAAUGUGUCAAUAAAAUGAUAUGGCCUGAAGCUAAGGUGUCUGCCUCUCUUCUUCAGCUAGAAUUAUAUGAACCAUAUCUAAGGAUUUCUAUUCCACUAUUUCAGCAUUAUACUUGAAUUUUCACAGGAUUAUAUCGAUCCCUUAAUUGCUGCCAAUGAGUCAAAGGACUCAAGAACAGUAAGAUGGAAACUCUUUCAACUAAUGAAACUUAGGGCGUCCAAUUCGUGGUCUCAAAUAACGACUUCAUCCUAAUGUAACUUUUAAGUUUUAAUAUGCUGAGUGUGUAAAAAGAUAUUUAGAACAAUCAGACUCACUGUAAUUGCCGAACCUAGUACUUUUUUUGUAACUUCUCAUCGUGUUUAAAGAGUUACUAAUCCUAAAGCUUUUUAAGAAAAUAUAUCUGCAAUACAUUGUCCUCUUGACAGUCUCUUCAAAUAAAGAAUAUGCGUCAUCAUUUAUUCAUCACUGUAAAGAAUAUUUUAUACUAUCAGGUCACCUAACAUAUAUCUAUAGGUAAAUUUAUUUGAGAUGUGAGAUUUGUAAUCUUGAAAAUAAGAUACACUACCUGCUACAACAGGUAAAAGUAACAUGACGGUGUAAAUAUUAUUUACACCGAUGGAGCAUAUUAUUACUUAAAUCAUUAAAUUAUAGACUGAAAUUUGAAACUGGGAAAGUGAGCAGGGACGGCUCAAGUAUAUGCGGGGCGGGGCCUAAAGCCAAAGUUUAAUAUGAGGCCUAAAUUUUUAAAAGAAAGUUAUACGAUAUGUUUUUAUUUAAAGUCUAUUUUUCUAGCUUUUUUAAAUACAAAAUUGUUAAUAAUCCUUUUUAUAAUCGAUUUUCCCUAAUAAUUCAUUUUCAAUUGAUAAUAUAGUCAACUCAUUUAAUCUUUCUUGAGAUAUUGUUAAUUUUAGAUAAGAUUUUAUAGAGCAAUAGAAGUAUAGAACUAUUUGUCACACCUCCUUUUUCCCGAGGGGAUAGGGGAUAAGGGAGUUUUUCCAAUUAAAGUGACAUUAAUCGAAAUGGGAUUAUUUAUUUAUCAGAGUCGCCACUUGGAAUAAUUUAUGGUGUCCCAAGUCACCGGUUUAUUUUAAAUCCCAAAUCAAGGAAAUUUGACUCUAUUUAUGGUCCGCGAACACAGAAGACCGAGUAAGGAAUUCUGUUAACCCGGGAGAAGGUGUGAGGCACUCCCGAAUUCCGUGAUUUUAGCACGGUCGCCUAACUAGUAAUAAUUGGCCAAAUUAUCUAAUUUAUACAUAUUUGAAACCUUUUGUGCAUUACCGCUUUUAUAUCGCUUUUAAUAUUUAUGAAAUUUAUUUCUGGAACAAGUCACGUUGUCGUACACUUGUCGUUUUGAUACACAUUGCAAACCGCGCCACAUGAAAUGCACCCGUGAUUUAUAACAUGUUUAUUUUAUUAUUAUUGUUUGAAGUUGAGGUCGAGUCACUUGAAACACACACUCGAAUUGGGGUUAUGCAUCGUGACCAUGCUACGGGAACCGUACCCAUGAUCACGAUAAUUUAUUAAACGCACCUAAAGCAAGCUAAGAUGUUCUAGAGUUGUUCAUUUCCUAAACUAAUUUGAGAUUCAAAUAUGAGGAUCAUGAGUUAUGGAAAUUUGUUGGGGAAGAGGUGACCUCGAUCAUAGCCAAAGAAUUCAUGAGAUCAAUUAUACAACUAAGUUGUUAGAAAUAUUUACAACAAUGAAUUGCUAAUAGUCUGCCUCUUAGGACUAUUUUUCCAAUCACUAGACUAGUGGUGAAUUAAAUGAAGGGAUUAAUGAGUUAAGGAAUAACUGAAGCAGCAACAAGAUUACGGAGUUAUCAAGCGAUUACCUAUUAUAUAAUAGGGCCAGAUUAUAACUCUUAUUAUAUUGGGUUGUAUAAGAACAAAUCAUUCGGCCUACCAUAUUGUCCAUUUUAGUUUUUGAGAACUAACUUCUACAGUCCAUUAUUUAUCAGUUUAAAUCAACAGAAAGCCCACAACUCUUUGUGCUUUCAUAGUUAUCUUCCCAGCAUGUUAUUUCACAAAUCAAGGCCAAACAAUAAUGGAAACUAAUUCAUCUAAAUCACCGUCACAGACCCAAAGCAACUCAAACAAAUUAUUUCAAGGAAAUUGAUUAAUCAAUCAAGAUAAAAAAAAUGUGCUGACAUAGAACAAAUGACAAAAUGGCAAGCAUUAUAAGAACAAAAUAAAGUCGCAAAUAAAGAAACGGACCUUAGAUAUAUUUUGCCAAAUAAAAUCUGAAAAUGCUUAACACCGAAAAACUUAGACAGCGACAACCUCGACGGAACCGCGAAUCUACCCGGAAACCUCGGCCUACGACCUUCGACGACCUCGAAACUCGUCGAAAAACUCGAAUCAAAUGAACCCAACUCGAAAUUGUGUAACGUGCGAGAAGAAGGAUGGAAAAAUAAACACACUGUUUUCGUUUCGAGGUAAUGAGAUUUUGUAGCUUUUUCCCUCAAUUAUUCCCUCUGUUUUUGUAACUUUCCCCCAUUCCUACCCGUUGCUGCUUUCCAAUUCCCUUUCCCCUUCCUUUGUUUCCUUAAUCUCCCCUCCGUUCCUUUUUUUUUCACUCUUUGCCCCUUUUUUUUGUGCAGGUUGCGGCUGCUUCCUUUCUGUUUUGGAAUUAGGAGAAUAGUUAGGUUUUAUUUGGGGUGGGGAAUUAAU